CGAGAGACUGGGGAAUGAUCUCUCCGAGCCCGAAGAGGUUGAGGAUCAAACGUGACUUCCGCCGCCAAAUGCAAAAGGUGGUCCUCUAUUGGCUCCUGAUUGAAAUAGCGUUUUUUCCAAAGCAGUGCUCAGACAAGUUGAAUGAUUCAAUGAAAAUUUAAUCUGAUCUCAUCUUAGCUGUAAGCGGCAGCCUGCUAUCAACUAGAAUUGUAAUGCUGGGAACGAUCUGCUUCCUGCAGGCCUCUCUCCCUUCUCUGCCUUGAUGGUAACAAAAAUGUGGGAGCAGGCCCUGGUCCGUGGACUACACUAUGAGCAGCACUGACUUAGAUGAGGCCAGUGGUAUUCUCUGGUUCCCAGAGUUUUAUUCAUAAUUGCCAAAACUGGGAAGAAACCAAGAUACCCAAGGUGACAGGAUAAAUCAACUGUGGUGGAUCCAGACAAUUGAACAUUAUUCAGUGCUAAAGAGAAAUGAAUUAUUGAGGCAUGAAAAGACAUGGAGGAACCUUAAAUUCAUAUUACUAAGUGAAAGAAGUCAAUUUGAAAAGACUGUGUACUGUACGAUUCCCAACCACAUGACAUUCUGGAAAAGGCAAAAUUAUGGAGACAGCAAAGACAUCAGGGGUUCCCAGGAGGCAGUGGGGAGGAAGAACACAGAGGACUUUU
rnacentral:lncRNA from 1 species